CCGCUCCCGGCGCCUUCCCGGGAGCGCAGCCCGGGCGGGGGGAGCUGCUCAGGGCUCGCUCUUGGUCCCGACAAACAUUGCACAGUAUCGUUUCAAACUGGCGUGUAUUUGUGCUGCUAUCAAGGUACCCCCAAGGAACUGCCCGAGAUUUUGUCUAGUUUGCAUGAACUCCACUGGACAUUUGAAGAUCUGCACUGUUGACAAGCACAUCACAAGUCAUGGGAACAGCAGGACCUUUGAAGCAAGCCUCCCCCGGGAGUGUUGGUCACCACCAUACAAUUCACCCAAAGCACACAAGAAGCCAUGGCAUCACUCCUCCUCCUUCCUGCUCGUCCUUUCAUGCCCUUCAACAUGGAGCAGUGGAUGCCCUCCCCAGAGCCAGCACCAUAACCUAAGUUAUGGACAAGAUCUUCUGUAACUGAGAACACCAGGCUAACGUUUGUCUGCAUCAAUAAAACUGAGGCAAAUUAAGCCAAAGAGUUACACCAGGAAGUAAUUUGGUCCUUGAAGCCUAGAUGGGAUUUGAGAAUAGGAAUUUAUGUGUGAUGGAGAGCAGAGUGUGGAA